CGAAGCCUGACGGAGCAAUACCGCGUGAGGGAAGAAGGCUUUUGGGUUGUAAACCUCUUUUGUCAGGGAAGAAGAAUUGACGGUACCUGAAGAAAAAGCAUCGGCUAACUCCGUGCCAGCAGCCGCGGUAAUACGGAGGAUGCAAGCGUUAUCCGGAAUCAUUGGGCGUAAAGGGUCUGCAGGUGGCGAAUAAAGUCUGCUGUUAAAGACCGGGGCUAAACUCCGGAAAGGCAGUGGAAACUGAUUAGCUAGAGUACGGUAGGGGUAGAGGGAAUUCCCAGUGUAGCGGUGAAAUGCGUAGAUAUUGGGAAGAACACCGGUGGCGAAAGCGCUCUACUAGGCCGAAACUGACACUGAGGGACGAAAGCUAGGGUAGCGAAAGGGAUUAGAUACCCCUGUAGUCUUAGCGGUAAACGAUGGAUACUAGGUGUAGCUUGUAUCGACCCGAGCUGUGCCGAAGCUAACGCGAUAAGUAUCCCGCCUGGGGAGUACGCACGCAAGUGUGAAACUCAAAGGAAUUGACGGGGGCCCCCACAAGCGGUGGAGUAUGUGGUUUAAUUCGAUGCAACGCGAAGAACCUUACCAGGGCUUGACAUGUCGCGAAUCUAGCGGAAACGUUAGAGUGCCUUAGGGAAUGCGAACACAGGUGGUGCAUGGCUGUCGUCAGCUCGUGUCGUGAGAUGUUGGGUUAAGUCCCGCAACGAGCGCAACCCUCGUCCUUAGUUGCCAAUAUUAAGUUAGGCACUCUAGGGAGACUGCCGGGGACAACUCGGAGGAAGGUGGGGAUGACGUCAAGUCAGCAUGCCCCUUACGUCCUGGGCGACACACGUACUACAAUGGUUGGGACAAAGGGCAGCAAGCUCGCGAGAGUAAGCGAAUCUCAUCAAACCCAGCCACAGUUCAGAUUGCAGGCUGCAACUCGCCUGCAUGAAGUAGGAAUCGCUAGUAAUCGCAGGUCAGCAUACUGCGGUGAAUUCGUUCCCGGGCCUUGUACACACCGCCCGUCACACCAUGGAAGCUGGCUACGCCCGAAGUCGUUACCCUAACCCGGUUUUGGGAGGGGGAUGCCGAAGGUAGAGCUAGUGACUGGGGUGAAGUCGUAACAAGGUAGCCGUACCGGAAGGUGUGGCUGGAUCACCUCCUUU
rnacentral:rRNA from 1 species